rnacentral:rRNA from 1 species
GAUUUCUGGCAGACGCCGGUUGCUCGCUUCCGCAAGGAAGUGCGGCUUCUGUGUGUUUGUCAUCCUUCUAGAUUGGGGCGAUGCUCGGUUUACUCCUGGUGUCUCCUUUGUCUAGAUUUUUUACUUUGAAGAAAUUAGAGUGUUCAAAGCAGGCAUAUCGCUUUGCAUACAUUAGCAUGGAAUAAUAAUCUAGGACUUUCGGUUCUAUUUUGUUGGUGUUCUGGAGCUGAAGUAAUGAUUGAUAGGGAUAGUUGGGGGUGCUAGUAUUCAAUGGCCAGAGGUGAAAUUCUCGGAUUCCUUGAAGACUAACUUAUGCGAAAGCAUU